GUCGGUGUCGUCUAGUGGCAAGACGUCCUCUUUUUAGGAGGAAGACCCAAGUGCGAUUCUUGAGCGCCGGCC